AUGAUUCAAGUUGGAUCUACUUUCCGUAUCUGUGAGUCUCCUGGCAGAUGCAAAGGAAUAACUACUUACAACUGGCAAAAAGAAUGUCACUUCUCUAGGGAUGCUGUGGACCAUACAGAGAGACUUAGAAGCCAUUCUGGCAACCUGCCUCUGGCCACAGUCAACCUCGGAGCUCCAGAGAACAGAGCCUCUGGGCCAGGAACUGCUCUCAGGUGGUCGCACAAGCACUACCAGGGGGUAGUGAUGGACCUGCACUGUUCUUCCAGCGCUGGGACGAAUACCUGGGCUCCAAGGAAUGAGAGGCCUCCAGCAAAACUCUCUGAUCCCCCUGCUCCCAAAGGACGUCUCCAGCUGAGUGGAAAGGAGUCACCGUCAGGGACACAGACCAUGGAUGGGGCAGAGCUGAAGUUCACAGGAUGUUUCAAACUUGCUCUACUGAGUCCUUAAAGUAUUGUCACCUCUCUCCCUCUUUGCCUCUAAAACCACGCCUGGUGGCUGGCCCCACGCAGUCCCGCUGUGCUUCUCUUACCUGUUGCAGACCUCCAACCAGCUCCCCCCCCCCAAAAGGGGCAGAGCAGUGGGGUGGACAAGACGCUCCUGCCAGGGGUGGCAGUGCCGUAGCUGAGACAUACUGCUGUCUGAGAUCCUGGAGCUGAGCUGGCAUCCCCUGCUCCCUGACCCCAGAGGAAGGAGCAGCUCCCCUCCACUUGGCAGCAGCUCUGCCUCCGAGCUGAGCCUGCCUGGCACAUAGCUGCCGGAGCACAAGCCGGGAGAAAUCCGCCUGCACGGCUGGAGGGAGCCGACUGCCCGGCGAUGCGCGAAGCCCUGCCUCUGCCUGCUCCUCAGAAACGACCUCUUCCAAGUGAACUUAUUGGGCUUCAAGCUGUACCGGGGGGGGGGGGGAAUUAUGUUUUGCAAUAUGGUAUGUGCAUUAACCAUUCCCAGAGUUAACUGCAUUUGACUUUCUUUCCUUUUAGACCAAACUUGCUGUUUCCUACUGGAGUUAUUAAUCUUUAUAUUCACAUUCUUCAUGCAGAACAGACUUGGUCUGCUUCUCCCUUUCCACCCCCUUUCUCCCACACAUGCUCCCUAAAAACCCAACAAUUAACAGUGUGGAUUUUUUUUUUAAUUCCCCUACAUCUGUGUAAUUAUAUUCACAUUAGAAAUCAAUCAACUCUGGUCAUUACCAUUAGUGAUAUGCUCAUAAACCAAACACUAGUCAUGCUAAUGAACUGAAUGAAACAUAAUUUCUUGUUGUGUAAACUGAUGCUCAACUCUAAUCAGCAAUAAAUUCAAUCAGACAUUACUUACA
rnacentral:lncRNA from 1 species